rnacentral:rRNA from 1 species
UACAGAGGGUGCAAGCGUUGUUCGGAAUUAUUGGGCGUAAAGCGCGUGUAGGCGGCCUAUCAAGUCGGGUGUGAAAGCCCUCGGCUCAACCGAGGAAGUGCGCCCGAAACUGAUGGGCUUGAGUGCCGGAGAGGGUGGCGGAAUUCCCCAAGUAGAGGUGAAAUUCGUAGAUAUGGGGAGGAACACCGGUGGCGAAGGCGGCCACCUGGACGGUGACUGACGCUGAGACGCGAAAGCGUGGGGAGCAAACAGG